AUUUAAGUAUUCAUUUCUUUCAAAAAAAUAAAUAAAUAAGUAAAUAAAUAAAUAAAAUGUACUGACCCGAAACUUUUGGAAGGUAGAAACAAUUACUUGUAUCUACCUCAAUUCAUUGAAAAAUCAUGAUCAAAUUCAUUUAGAUGAAUUCUUAAUCAAACGACAGCCCUACUUUUUUUUUUAAACCUAACAGUAUACCUAUCAACAAAUGUUUUUGUAAAAUAUAUUGUGCUUUAACAUUUACUUUGUUCUAAAGUGCCUCUUAGUUUGAUAUUCUGAUAUUUAAUGCAAUGACAUUCAUAUAUUUAUGGCAUUUCUCAUAUGUUCAAGUGCUUUUGAUGCGCCUUCAAACAACUAUUGACAGUUAUUAUUAUGUGUGUGUAACACUCUGCCUGUAGUUUCAUCUAGCCCAGAGAGCAGGCCUCUUUCUCUGUUUUAGCUAAACUCAUUGAAUUACUGUGGAACUGCUCAUUUAAUUAACAGAGAAGACUUUGUUUUGAAACACUGUGUUUGAUAUUUCCCGUUCUGAUGCAUCGACUCGGCUUCAGUAGAAACCGCAGGGCAGCGAAUCACACAAGAGGCAGUGUGCAUGUCGUAUUCUGUGUUUUGAAUGUGCCUUGACUUUUUGUGUGUAUGCACGUGUCUGUGUGAUGUAAAACUGAAGAACUAAGGUAUUGUAUCCCACCUUGCUGUCCGGACUCACAUAUGCAGCAUAGUCUCUUUUUGAGAAUGCCGGAUCACAUUCUGUCUGGUUUGAUUUUGUAGGUUCUUGCGUACAUUCAGCAGUUGUGGUCUGGGUCAUCCAUUACGAUAGAGCUAAUCCAGCCCAUAGCUUUAAAACUGGUUUGAUGAACCAACGCCUUUGAAUGAGUGUGUGGUUGUUUGAUGGGAACACAUGUGGCUGUUUCAUAUGCAGUUGACGCAUGUCUGAGACUCUCGAGUGUAUGUGAUGUCCAUUUCUGUGUUUAUGUACAAGCCCCUGGUUUUAUUGAGCUGGUGUUUCUAAUCUGUUGCUACAUGAAAACUGUAUUAUGUCUGACUCACGACCCCUUUAUUACCACCAUACUGCACAGGAAGUGACAUCUCACGGACUGAUUGACAGGUUUUAGAGGAGAUCAAAGAUGGAUGCAUGUUAGUAUAUUCUCUGGUCUUUUAAAUCUGAAGGUACAGUCAUGUUUGUGGGGUCAGGGUCUUUUUUCCCCCUCUCCGGUCUUAUAUCCUCAGACUGAGAGGUCUUUCUAUGUUAGUUUGUAUACUUUUAUAAGAAGGAAAAAGUGUAAAUAAAGACGUUAAAUAGAAUGUAUGUGUAGGGUGUACUGCUGUCACAUUAGUUCAUACUGAUAUUUUAAGGAAAUAAACAUUUGUACCUUCAGAUAUAAA